rnacentral:sRNA from 1 species
AGCACCAUGUCCCAGUGCAAGGUCUGGGGCCAGGGAGGCCCAGCCUGCCCAUCAUGGCCUCAGGAGCCCCCAGGCUCUGCUGGUCCCGGAGCCAGAGCCCCUGACCUGGCCAGGGACCGUGGAAAGGGGUGGGGGUGCUCCAGGCCUGGAGGCCCUGACUCAACCCCCUGUCCCUCGCCCUGCAGAAGCGGAACAGGGCCAUCACGGCCCGCAGGCAGCACCUGAAGAGCGUGAUGCUGCAGAUAGCGGCCACAGAGCAGGAGAAGGAGAAGAGCCGACGUGAGGCGGAGAAGCAGAACUACCUGUCGGAGCACUGCCCGCCGCUGCAUAUCCCGGGCUCCAUGUCUGAAGUGCAGGUACCAGCCCCUCCCCGGCCACCUCGCCUCCCCAGCAGCAGGCCUGCCUGCUAACUCAGUUUCCCCACUUGUCAAGAGG